GGUAACUAAGGUAGUACAUAGGUUAAGAAAUAAGAAGUCUGACAGCAUAUUUGCCACAAGUACAUACACAAUCGACACAAAACAGAAGAAACAGGACUAGCAACAAUGACCUACAGUGAACAGGGAAUAUAGUUAUUAUCUAUGAUUAGAAGCUCAAAUGCUACAUAAUAUUAACAUUCUCAUGUUUCUCUUGAAUAAUACAAAUACAAAACUGCUAUCCUUUUAGAAACCAGUACCAUUACUGGAAUACGAGGGGGAAAACUGCAAGUUGAAAUUCUGCAGCAGCUAUAUUUGCUUCUGUUUAACGUGAAAAGAAAUGCAAAAGAAACAAAUUUAAAGGAGAGCAUGAUGCCUUUAAAAUCACUCCAAAUAUUACCAAAAUUAUAAAUGCAUUCAUAUUGGAGGACUCCAUGAAGGUCAAUGUCUUUCCAUUUCAACAAGUUUCUAGCGUGCAGCAUGCCAGCAUCAUAGCUGAAAAAGAGAAAAAUCACUAGAGGUCAAGAAAGAGCAACUAACAAAGCCAACAAUCAAAAUCCCAAUUUCUUCAGCUUAAUGAUAAGCAAAUCAGUUCUUUAUACCCUUCAGCAAGAUGCAGCACUUGGGAUUACUUCCCAUGUAAUUGCACAGUGAGUAAUGACAUUUAACUAAGAUAUACAUACCCAAAAUGAUGCUUCUAGAAGAGUAAGAUUAUGUUUCUGGAGCUUUUCUCUUGCGAUCAGAUGCUGAUGUAUUAUCUGAUUGGGCCUGACCAAAUACUGACCCACAGGUUGAACAUUUUUUAUGAUGUUUACAAAAUAUGGACAAGCAUACAGAACAUAUGUAGCCCAUGUCAAUCGUAGUUUUAUGGCAAAAACACCUGCAAAAUGCAGAACUCGGUAAAUUGCAAUUCAAAUUAUUAAAAAGAAAAAGAAAAUAAUGUCAAUUUGGAACAAAUAAAAGAAAAUUCUUCCCACAGUAAACAUACACAAGCAAGAGUGGCUUAUUGUUCACAUGAGAAUGCAAAUGAUAAUGCAUUUAAUGAUAUAAAUAAUAAAUCAGACAAUGGUAAUAGACCCGCCGCCUCUCUGCUCAGAACUACAGCCAGCAAUUUUGUAGUAUCAUAAAACUGCAGCAAAUCCACUUAAAAACAUCAGCUAGCAAUCCCAUAGUAUCAUAAAAAGCUAAUACAGCUGGAUUACAAGCAAAUAACGCACAUAAAUCUGAGAAUAAAAAUAAAGUUGCCUUUCUGCUUAAAAUUAAAAUUAGCAUUUUUAUAAUAUCAUAAAAUUGCUGGAAAGCUAGUAGUCCUUUGGUAUUAUGAAAAGCUAGUUGUUUGGAUUGAAAGUAAUAAUGCCUAGUGAACAAUUACAUAUAAAUUGCCAACAUUUUGAAAUAAGAAAAUGUGGCAAUAAUUAAAUUAAUAGUGAUUGUAACUCUCCAAAACAAACAAAUUGUGCACAAUCGAACCCUAAGUGCGUGUUUGACUCCUGAGAGCAACCACUUCGUGCCAAAACGUUGAAGCUUAGAACUGUCUACCCAUUUUACCUCCAAAGGGCCCCACCUUGAUGGGAUCAUAACUGAGUAAUGGCCUUUAUAAGCUAACACGCAGACGUGUGCUCACCACUUGAAGUUGGGAUAUUAAAAAAAAAAAAAGCAUCAGACACGAUAUACAAACAAUCAAGCAUGAUAUAGAAGCCUUGCAACAACAUGAAACAAAGUAAUCAUGAAAAAAUGACAUAAAGUUGAUUUAAGAUGAUUUUAACUUACGAUGCUCGGAAAUCCACACCGGCAGGCCUAGGAAGUUGUAUGAAGUUACGAGAAUGCAAGUCAGCUGCAAACACAGUCACUAAGUAUUGAAACAGCCCAUCCAAAUGUUGAGGUUUUACAUACACACCUCCAGUUAUAUAAGAAGCCUGCUGCAGAAAGGCUGAAUUAUGAGCACCAACAUAACAAGAGUCUAUAGGCACCAUAGAGCGUUGGGCAGAGAAUAUUGCAUUCAUUACCGCAACAUAUCUGGAAAACCACAUCCCCCAACCCACCCAAAAGAAAAAAGGUCAAGCCUUAAGGGAUAAAAUAAAUAAAGCAAAAUUAUCAUAAAACAUACUGUUCUGGUCCAUCUGGAGAUCCCUGCAAACACAAAAUCUGCCCUUGUGUGUCAGUGACAUUGUAAGAAAAAUAACAGUAAUACUAAUGGCUAAUUGGCUAUGCUAAAUUCAAGGAACAAAAUGCAAAGCAUACAUGUCAUUAUAUAACUAGCCGCAACAUAACUGACUUCCCAAGAUUAACUACACAAAUCAAUUUCCUUAAUCUAGACAAUAAGUAAUGCGAACCUGUUUAAACACAAACAGAACUCAUAGAAUAUCAAUUCCUAACUUUGCAUGGCAAAAACAGUGAAAGGUAGUCUGUCUACCACAACAAUGAUAAAGAGAUGCUGUGAAAAAAUAAAUAAAACUUUUGAGGCACCAAUGAAUUUCAUUAAAAUGUUUGAAAUCCACCCUAAAUGAUACUACAAGAGAGCCAAUAAAAUAUAAAUCAGUUCUAUUCAGCUAUAUAAUGAUAAAAAUAGAAACAGUAACUGUUGAUUAAAUGCUCUAUCAAAUAUGUGGAAUUUCAAUUCAGUCUGGACAAUGUACAGAGUGCAGACAAUACAAAUACAAAUACAUUGUUAAAUAAAUACGUGAAUACUCACUCGAGGCUGAGGAUUGAGUGAUCCCGAGCGAAAAACCCGUUGUAUAUAACAAAGCGCCAUGGACAAUGACCCCGAGAGCAACGAAGACGCAAUCUUUCCUCGAGGCUCCUCCUUCGCCAACUUUUCAUCUCUGAUUAUGAACUCCUCCAAUUUCUGCAACAAAUUGGAGUAUAAAGCAGGCAAUCUCCCAUCCUCAGAGCUCUGAUUUGUAGCCGAAGACGAAUCAUAAAUAUAGUCGCAAGAAUUAUACCCAGUAGCAAUCACUACGACUUGGUUCAGUUGAUUGAGCAGUAAAAUCGAGUUCAAAAACGCAAGAACCUGAGAGAGAAAUUGGGAAAAUGGGAGGGAAGAAGUGGUCCAGAAGAAUGGAUUGGUGUCUAACAACACCAUCACAAGGCUAACAUCAUCAGAGUAGAGCUUUGAAGGAACUGAAGCCAUGAGGAUUUCUUUUCCUUCUCUUUUAUUUGGCAAAAGUAUUUGUAAUUGGAGGGAAAGAAUUAGAAUUAGAAUGAGAAUUCACGUCAGUUGCUG
rnacentral:misc_RNA from 1 species